rnacentral:rRNA from 1 species
UACGAAGGGGGCUAGCGUUAUUCGGAAUUAUUGGGCGUAAAGGGCGCGUAGGCGGCCAUUCAAGUGACGGGUGAAAGCCCUCGGCUUAACCGAGGAACUGCCUGUCAGACUGGAUGGCUUGAGACCGGGAGAGGUGAGUGGAAUUCCCAGUGUAGCGGUGAAAUGCGUAGAUAUUGGGAGGAACACCAGUGGCGAAGGCGGCUCACUGGACCGGAACUGACGCUGAGGCGCGAAAGCGUGGGGAGCAAACAGG